GCUAACUUCGUGCCAGCAGCCGCGGUAAUACGAAGGGGGCUAGCGUUGCUCGGAAUUACUGGGCGUAAAGGGAGCGUAGGCGGAUAGUUUAGUCAGAGGUGAAAGCCCAGGGCUCAACCUUGGAAUUGCCUUUGAUACUGGCUAUCUUGAGUAUGGAAGAGGUAUGUGGAACUCCGAGUGUAGAGGUGAAAUUCGUAGAUAUUCGGAAGAACACCAGUGGCGAAGGCGACAUACUGGUCCAUUACUGACGCUGAGGCUCGAAAGCGUGGGGAGCAAACAGGAUUAGAUACCCUGGUAGUC
rnacentral:rRNA from 1 species